GAUGAAGAACGUAGCAAAAUGCGAUAAGUAAUGUGAAUUGCAGAAUUCAGUGAAUCAUCGAAUCUUUGAACGCACAUUGCGCCCGCCAGUAUUCUGGCGGGCAUGCCUGUUCGAGCGUCAUUUCAACCCUCAAGCACAGCUUGGUGUUGGGACUCGCGUUAAUUCGCGUUCCCCAAAUUGAUUGGCGGUCACGUCGAGCUUCCAUAGCGUAGUAGUAAAACCCUCGUUACUGGUAAUCGUCGCGGCCACGCCGUUAAACCCCAACUUCUGAAUGUUGACCUCGGAUCAGGUAGGAAUACCCGCUGAACUUAAGCAUAUCAAAAGCGGAGGA
rnacentral:misc_RNA from 1 species